rnacentral:rRNA from 1 species
GGAAUGCGUAGAUAUCAAGAGGAACGCCGGAGGCGAAAGCGCCUCGCUGGGCGUGACCGGACGCUGAGGUGCGAAAGCCAGGGGACCGAACGGGAUUAGAUACCCCGGUAGUCACGGCCAUAAACGAUGUGCACUAGAUCGGUGAACUUCUGACAGUGCGCCGGUCGAAACAAAAGCGUUAUGUGGACCGCCUGGAGAGUACGGUCGCAAGGCUAAAACUCAAAGGAAUUGACGGGGGCUCACACAAGCGGUGGAGCAUGUUGCUUAAUUAGAUGCAACGCGAAGCACCUUAUCCUGGACAUGACAUGUUAGGAUGCCUCCCUGGAAACAGGGUUGUUUGCCAUUCGGGGUGAAACUUUCACAGGUGCUGCAUGGCUGUCGUCAGCUCAUGUCGUGAGAUGUUGGGUUAAGUCCCGUAACGAGCGCAACCCUUGUCGUUAGUUGCCAGCGCGUAAUGACGGGGACUCUAGCGAGACUGACCGGUGUUAAAGCCGGAGGAAAGCUGGGGAUGAUGUCAAGUCCUCAUGGCCUUUAUGUACAGGGCUGCCAACGUGAUACAAUGGCGUGUACAACCCGACGCAAGACCGCGAGUUGGACCAAAUCGGAUAAAGCACGCCCCAGUUCGGACUGGAGUAUGCAACUCGACUCCAAGUAGUCGGAAUCGCUAGUAAUCGCGUAUCAGCUCGACGCGUUGAAUGCGUUCCUGAGCCUUGUACACACCGCCCGUCAAGUCAUGG